rnacentral:rRNA from 1 species
CCCUUAGAUGUUCUGGGCUGCACGCGCGCUACACUGAUGCAUCCAACAAGUUUUCUCCCUUGUUCGGUAGGACUGGGUAAUCUUUUGAGUAUGCAUCGUGAUGGGGAUAGAUUAUUGCAAUUAUUAAUCUUCAACGAGGAAUUCCUAGUAAGCGCGAGUCAUCAGCUCGCGCUGAUUACGUCCCUGCCCUUUGUACACACCGCCCGUCGCUACGACCGACUGUUUCUGUCAAUGAAGCUGUAGGAUUUGGUCCUGGCCGGGCUUCACGGCCUGGCUGCGGCACUGGAGAUCACAGUUUAGUUGAUACGAAAUACAGGACGUAAAAGUCGUAACA